rnacentral:rRNA from 1 species
UACAGAGGUCUCAAGCGUUGUUCGGAUUCAUUGGGCGUAAAGGGUGCGUAGGUGGCGGGGUAAGUCAGGUGUGAAAGCCCCCCGGCUCAACUGGGGAGGGUCACGCGAUACUGAUCGACUCGAAGGCAGGAGAGGGUAGUGGAAUUCCCGGUGUAGUGGUGAAAUGCGUAGAUAUCGGGAGGAACACCAGUGGCGAAGGCGGCUAACUGGUCCAGUACUGACGCUGAGGUGCGAAAGCGUGGGGAGCAAACAGG